GACGAACGGUCCAAACGUUAUUCGGAUUCACUGGGCUUAAAGGGUGCGUAGGCGGUCCGGAAAGUUGGUUGUGAAAGCCCUCGGCUUAACCGAGGAAUUGCGCCCAAAACUACCGGGCUUGAGGGAGAUAGAGGUGGGCGGAACUUAGGGUGGAGCGGUGAAAUGCGUUGAUAUCCUGAGGAACACCUGUGGCGAAAGCGGCUCACUGGGUCUCUUCUGACGCUGAGGCACGAAAGCUAGGGGAGCGAACGGG
rnacentral:rRNA from 1 species